UAUUAAAAGUUUUAUUCAUUGUGCAGUUAAAAACUAAUGUAACUAACGAAAUAACCAAAUAAUGACAUGUGAAAACCAUCUGUACAUCAUACUGAUAUCUAGAGACUAGUUUUUAACAGUAGAAAUGAAUAAAAAUUUUAACA
rnacentral:pre_miRNA from 1 species